GAUAUUUUUUCAGAAUUACUUUAAAUUUAUUGAUUGUAAGAGUGUUGUGAAAAUUAAAGAAUCAAGCUCAGAACCAUACACGACAAACAAAGGAGUACCACAGGGAUCCGUGCUGGGACCAUUAUUAUUCCUAAUUUUUAUUAACGAUCUACCAGAUCACAUAAGGGCACUUAUAAUAUCAAUGUUUGCUGACGAUACCUCGUUAAUAGUCUCUGCACGUACACUCGAGGAAUUACAAAUGGCAAUGAAGACUGUUGUUGACUGCUUUAGAUGCUGGUGUAAUACCAACAGACUCAUUUUAAACAUUGACAAGACAGAAAUUAUUUAUUUUCAUUCAUACAACUCAUCAACCAAUGACUAUAACUUAACCAUCCAUGAUAGAAACAAUAUGUUAUCUUCCACUCAGUCUACAAAGUUUUUGGGUGUGUUCAUUGAUUGUAAUCUGAAAUGGUCAGAGCAAGUGAAUUCAGUGAACAUGAAAUUGAAUAAAGCUUUUUAUGCUACAUCUAGAAUUAAAAACACACUACCCAUAUCGGCAUUAAUAAACGUUUAUUAUAGCCUUGCUUACAGCCACAUGUGCUAUAAUGUAAUUUUAUGGGGGAACUCAGUAGAUAGUGCCAAAGUGUUCAUUACCCAAAAAAAAA
rnacentral:lncRNA from 1 species